CAAUUUGUACUUUUUAUUAGUACAUGGUCGUGGUACAUGAUGAUCAAAUUCCUCGUGAAGAGUUGGUACACGUACAUAACACAUCUCAAUGUUUUCAUCCCUUCCCUUCCCUUUCUUUCCCCUUCCCUCCCUCUCUAGGUCCCUUUCCCAUUUACAAAUGAUCCAUCUCCUUACUUCCUUUUACGUAUCUUUUAUUUUGCUCUUCAUUUAGAUUUUGGGAUAUUAUUAUUAUUAUUAUUAUUAUUUUCACAUUUAAGCAUCUAUGUAUUUAUUGCACUAAAUCAUCAAAGUUCACCAGAGUCUAAAACCACAGACAGCUUUUCUAGUUAAACAUUUGGUGUUUCUAAGAAGCACACAGAUUUGUUCCACUGUGAAAAGAAUGGGGAGCUUCUUAUCAGUAAGUGUCUUCUUAUAGGAGGGCUCAGCUAAGGACCCCAGCACGUGACCUCACAAACAGAACAUGGAGCCCUGUCAUCAGGCACCACAGUCUAGUGACAACUGUCUCCCCAGUCAGUUGGCUGAAAACAGUCAGCAGCAAACAUGCUGUGGAGCUUUCCCAGGACUCCUGGUCGCAGCCACAGGACUCCACGCAGGGAAACCACUUGGCAACGAGUGAGAAGAUGGUUCACUUGGCGCAGAAGCUUCAGGACCCUCGCCAGGAACUGUCCAACAGUCAUGGGCAGCACAGGGCAGGUCUCACCAGAUCAAGCCCAUAGAUGCCCAGAGACAAGAGAGAGCCCAGGACAAGUGUCCCUAGGUUCAGCCACCAGACACUUGGAGCCACUGAUACCUGGACAGAUUGGAAAUCAGUCAACCGAGAGCUUGGCAGGGGUCUGCACAGUAAGCACGGUGCAGGCAGGGAUUCCUCACACUCCAGUGGAGACCCUGGGGCAGGACUUCCAGGAUAACAAGACCAGGUGCACCUUUUCUGUCUUUGACUCCUCAGUGGAGCUGAAAUCCCAGGUGCAUCCCCAGGAUGAGCUACUCCAGGACCACCUAGUGCCUCCUGAGUCCUCUGAUGAAGCGCCCCAGGUGCCAGCUCCAGCCCACGAUGAUGUCCCACCUGUAGAGCUCAUGCCAACUGCAACUGCAGCUCCCUCACCAGCUCUGACCCCACAGCAGGAGCCAGGACCUGAAACCCCUUCUCCACCAGCUGCAGAGCUGCAACUCCUGGUGGCUCUACAGCAAGUGCUAUCUCUUGAGCUCUACUUGAGGCCAACUCUUGACACAUACCAGCAAUUCCCCUCCCUUACAGAUUUAGUUAUUAUUGUAUUUAUUGUUACUCUUAUUUUCCAGAGACAGGUCAAUGAUAGAAUUAUUUAA
rnacentral:lncRNA from 1 species